rnacentral:rRNA from 1 species
UACGUAGGGACCGAGCGUUGUCCGGAAUCAUUGGGCGUAAAGAGCGUGUAGGCGGCCACUUAAGUCCUGCGUGAAAUCUUGCGGCUCAACCGCAAGCGGUCGUGGGAAACUGGGUGGCUAGAGUGCGGGAGAGGAGAGUGGAAUUCCUGGUGUAGCGGUGGAAUGCGCAGAUAUCAGGAAGAACACCCGUGGCGAAGGCGGCUCACUGGCUCAUUACUGACGCUCAGGCGCGAUAGCGUGGGGAUCAAACAGG